AAAAAGAUAUCCGAGAAUCUUAUUCCUAUUCAUCCUAUUACUAAGAAUGUAGUAUUUCGAUGUUUGGUUCGUACGGUCAUAUUAUUUAGUCAUGUUAUUUAAGAUUACGAAAAAUAUACAAUUAAUUAAUUAAUUAAUUAAUUUAAUUUUAAAUAAUACUAUAAAAAAUUUCAACAUCUUUUCAAAAAAAAAGAGAGAAUAUAUGUUAGAAAGAGAGAGCAUAAUUAAAGAAAUAUAAAGAGAAAUAGAGUCGAGGUUAGAGAGAAUGAGAGGGUUGAGAUUUUAGAAAAAGAGGGAGAGAAAUAGCUUAAUUUAGAGAGAGAAAAAGAGUUGAAGUUUAGAGAGAAAAAGAAAAGUUUAGAGAGAGAUAUGAUGUUAGAGUGUAAAGAGAAAUAAUACCAAGUAGCCGGCGGAUGGGAAGAAAGAAAAAGAUUAGACAUAUUAUAAUUUUUCCGUUCCAUUAAGAUAAGGAUACCCACCCUUCCUCAAAGGAAUGAGAUUAGUACUUUGGGAUGUAUCUCAUUUCCAAGUAAAUUCAGUAUUACCAACUGGAUUACUUAAUGCGUUUAGCCAAACACCGUCAUAUUUUUUUAUUCCUAUUGAAUUACUAGGAAUCUAAAAAAGAUAGCGCGAACCAAACGCACCCUCAGACCAAUCCCACUCUACAGUGACAGAGAUAGAUGGAAGAGGCUUACGUUUAAGGGUUAAUUGCAUACAAAUUUAUCGAAUAGUAAAUAUAUUUUUACAAAAUUUAAUUUUUAACUUUUAUUUCUAUAAAAAUUUAAUAAUAUUUAUUUUUUUUUCUGAUUUGUUACCGUUAGAGAGGGAUAUUCAUAUUUACUUGUCUAAUUUAUUAUCGUUAGAGAGGGAUAUUCACAUUUAUUCCUCUGAUUUGUUACCGUUAGAUAUUUAUUAAAUUUUUAACAAUAAAUAAGUAAAAUGCCAAAUCUUCAUCCUCUUUAAAAUCCAACCCAAUCCAUCAUUGUUACAACCACUUCUCUCAUUCCAUUUCUCCUAUAUCUUGUUUUUAGCAAAGUAUGAAAAAAUAAUAGAGAAAAUUAAAUGGAAAAGUAAUACGCGUUCGAUAUGGGUGAAGCAAUACGCAUUGUAGAUGAAUAGGGACGGAGAUAUUCUAGUUACGGGUUCGAAACUAGCAUUGGAGGAGAGCGAGGAAAAGGGAGAAGAAGAAGAAGAGUUUCUAUUACUAGAGUUUUAAUUGAGAGAAGAAGAGUAUAAUAUAAGAGUCGAUCAUCGAUUUGGAAAUCGCAUUAUUAAAAACAACUUGGUAGCACGGAAGCUUCCGUGCUACUGAUAGUAUAUCAGCUUAGUUCUAUAUAAAUAUAUGGGAAAACUUCAAAAACCCCCCCUGUGGUUUCAUGCAUUCUCACUUUAGUACCCUGUGGUUUAAAACGUAUCAAUUUGCCCCCCUGUGGUUUCGUUUUAUCUUUUCAGAAGCUUUUUCGUUAAUAUUUCGUUAAAUUAUAUACAAAAAACUUCAAAUA
rnacentral:lncRNA from 1 species